CCAAAAUAUUUACAUUAGCAUAAAGUGCUACCACAUCAAAUGUGUGGACCUCAUAGAAUCUUGCUCAUGAAAUCUCACCUUCUUUCCCACAUAUACUCUAGCAUCUCCAACUAUGGCUUGCAGCUCAGGGAAGUCUGGUGUGAGUAUGGCUGAUAUUCCAGGUUCCAAAUGAACUUUGGAUUCUGAACGAAUGAGAGUAAGCUUCUCAUAGCAGCUUCCUCAAGAAACUGUAGCCUCAACCUUCCAACCAGGACAAAUGCAGUUCUCCCUCAAACCCCUGAUGUAUAACUUAGAUACUGGAUGAAUAAAGAAGGAUGGUUUUCUUUUA